rnacentral:rRNA from 1 species
GACGAACGCUGGCGGCGUGCUUAACACAUGCAAGUCGAACGAUGAAGAAAAGAAUUGAAGCUUCGGCAGAAAUUCAUUUCGGAUUAGUGGCAGACGGGUGAGUAACGCGUGAGCAACCUACCUCUUACAAAGGGAUAGCCUCGGGAAACCGGGAUUAAUACCAUAUAACAUUGCGACGAAGCAUUUCGAUGCAAUCAAAGCUACGGCGGUAAGAGAUGGGCUCGCGUCCCAUUAACCAGAUGGUGAGGUAACGGCUCACCAUAGUAACGAUGGGUAACCGGCCUGAGAGGGUGAACGGUCACACUGGAACUGAGACGCGGUCCAGACUCCUACGGGAGGCAGCAGUGGGGAAUAUUGCACAAUGGAGGGAACUCUGAUGCAGCGACGCCGCGUGAGUGAUGAAGGAAUUCGUUUCGUAAAACUCUGUUCUAUGGGAAGAAAAGGACUGUACCAUAGGAGAAAGCUCCGGCUAAAUACGUG